CCUGGCACAGAGGUAGAAACUUCUGCUCCAAGUAAUGUUUUAACAAGUUGUUUUCUUUUUUCUGUUGUCACCUGAACCAGAAGAUUUGGGUGCUUGCUUACUGCAUAGAUACACCUCAGGUUAAGCCUGAUUUUUUCUUUCCUUUGUUUUGUUUCUUAAACUGGUUGCAUUCAUGUGCUCAGGCCUCUUCAGCACUUCAGAUCCCAAGUGAAACAAGAAAUGGGAGGAUGCAGAACAAAGCCACCGUGAGUACACAGGAGAACAAUUAAAUGGUUUACCUUCCUCAAAAUAACUAUUUUCCUGUAACAUGGCUGGAAAGAAAGAAGGAAUCUAUUGACAUUCCCAUUGGUGAAAGUCAGAACAUAAGGGUCUGGAUCACAUCCAGUAGCAGAACUAAAACCAGUCCUGUGUCAAGAUGAUGUAACCACCAGGGGAUUGCAGAUGCCAAGCACAGACCCGUGGUGCACUCCGACAGAAGACAGUGACGUGACAGGAAGGGUGACACAAGGCUCUUACUUUUACAUUCAAUAAUUGAUUCUCCUGGAUGGAUUGUGACUCCUUAAAGGUUGCAAGGAGAGGAACGCUCGUGGGGCGAAUCCAGGGAAAGACAGAGGUGCUAAAUUUUGCAUGACGUGGUAAGAAAGGGUUGAAUUCAGAAAGGGUUGCUACUUACCAAGAGGAGAAAAACAGCGCAAGAGCAUUGGUUAACGGGCAUGCUUUGGAUUCACACUGGAUCCUGGAAGCAGAGUUGUCCCCUGUGGAUGUAGAAGUAUCAUGGUUACUUCCUUCAGGACAGUGCAAUUCAGAGUGACCCAGAGGAUCACGACUUGUUCCUGUUGGAACAGGGCUUUGCCAGCCCCACAUUCCUGGCACGAGAUGACCACACUGCAGGAGAUUGAAUGAGGCUUCUUCCCAUCCAAACUUUUAAAUCCAUGAAGAAGAGGAAUGUCUCUAACUCCAUGUACCUGCUCUGAAGGGGUAUGAAAUCUACAAAGAACAGAGAGAACAUUGCUGCUGGAUGAGCCUUUUCAUGAGAAGAACAAUGCUGCUGGAUGAGCCUUUCCAUGAGAAGAUGAUGAAGAUGAUGUGCUCAUUUCAUCCUGUUUAGAAAUCUCCCCAGACUCCAUGCACAGAAAUAGUAACAGCAACAACAAAAUAAUUUAGGUUAUCUCGAGAGAAAUUCUCUACUCUGGAAAGUGCAUAAAAUCAGAGAUAACCUCUGCUGCUGUUGUGCCUGUCCUCAGGCCUGUAGGGAACCACCAGAUUCGCUGUGAGCUGAACCAGCUUUGCUCUGUUUGCUGUCUCAGACCAGCCACUGCACUGGAGAAGUCAACCCUGGCAGUGUGGGAGCGUGUUCUGUUCUCCUCAGGAUCGGCUGCCCUCCCUGAAUAUCCACUUUGCACACCCACAGGAUGGCAUCCCUUCUGCACGUACUCAUAUCCACAGAACUGCUGUGCUCUGCAGUCUGCAAGGGGCGGAUACACCUGAUCUGCCUCAAACUAACAAAUCCCCCUGUGCUUGGAAAUAAAACAAACCUCAGAAGGGGGGAAAGUUCUCUCUUCUGAAAUGAUCAGAUGCUAUAAUACAGUUUCUUUUGAGCCGAAUUCUGUUGGGCAGACAGCUAUUGAUGUGGUCCCCAUUGUCACUUAGGUAUUUGGUCUAUUCAUUAUUUUCAUUUAUAUUGUUUAUGUAGAGCACCUAGAGGCCUGUGAUAAGCAAAUUUCACCAAAUAAAAUAAGCCAACUUUAGUAGGUCAAUUAGCAUUCUCCAAAGAUCAUACAUUUUAGCAGGGAGUUUUGCAGUUUACUGCUGCUGUCUAAGGAGAAAAUGGAAAGUAGACCCCUCCCCUCAUAUACAGUGUCAAAUAUCAACUCUAAAUUAGAAUGUUACUUAUUCUUACUGAAACUGGGAAUUCAUUGUAUGAGCUGAGUAAUCACAAUGCUGUGCUCUGAUUUCAUUUCUGGAGAUUAUCCAAUGAAAACAGCCUGUUGUUACCUACUGGGAAGAAAUAGGCAAAUACAGUCAUGUCUCUAAUAUGUGUACACAGUAUAUCAGUGCUCUCCAGGUUGCUUGCUAAACGCAGCUUAAGAAUGUUCUAAGAUACAGACAGGGAGAUUUGUAAUGAGACAUGUGCAAUGUAUUUCUAGUGUCUCCUGUUUUCUUUAUAGUUAUAAAAUCAAUAAAACUUAGGUUUACCAAAGAAUAUAGCUCCGUAAUACAGCGUUGCAGGCUGAUGUAAGUUGUUGUGAUGGGGAAUUUAUUUUUGAUUUGAACAUUAUGAGCUUCCUGCUUUCCCUACUUACACAACUUCUGGCUGUUUUAUUGCCCCCUUCUUUUCACUUGGUUGUCCUCUUUCAGGGGUACUCUGAGAUGCUUUUUCUUCUGCAUAAGUUUUCAUUCUUUCAUGAUGCCUCUCUGCUUAAAACUCCUUAUUUUAGGUAUCUUUUGGUUGUGAUUUUUUUCAGUGCUGAGAGUUCUAACUUAAAACCAAUUAAUUGGUAAUACUUCUGCAGCGAGACAACACAAUAUUUAUACUUUGUGUGCCAUACUGUUUGUGCCUUUCAUCCCAGUUUACAAAGGUCAACCUGCCUAGAGUUGGGUAUUUUUACCUUUAUAGCUCUUCAUCUGAGUAAGUGAUCUAAUCUUUACUCACAGUUUUAUUGACUGCUAGGUCUUGACUUGAGCCUGAUGAUGUGUUUCUGGUUUGCUAAUUUAGGCUUAAACUUCCUGCCAGAUCCAGCCAGACCAAGCCAUAUGAGCUGUCUACCUUCACAGUCUGCCUCACGUCUGCUCUUCCAGUCACCUGUAUUGGGGAAGCUGACCUUCCCAGGAAUCAACCUCAGAAACUGGAUUUUAUUUUUUUAAUUUUUUUUAAAAUUGUUGUUGUUGUUGUUUAAGCUUGUUCUGACAAAAGAAGUCACAGAAGAGGUGCAUGAGUGAGCAGAACAUCUGGGAGAGAACAGGGAGUAGCAGGAUUGUUGCUCUGUAGACUCCUGGGUCCAGGAUUCAUGAUCCUGGGUGAAUUCCAAAUGCACACAGAAAUGGAGUGUAGGAGGAGCUGUGCCAGGGUAUGGUCAAAUCUGGAUGCUGGGCUUCAGAGGUUUAGUGCCUCCAGUUCUGGAGUUUUGCCUCAGGGGUCUCAGUGUGGUCAGCAGAUCUGUCUGUUAAGGGGAGCUUUAUCUUCCCUCUGGCACUGCAGACAUUGGCCAAUGAUUCCAGGCCCUGAAAGGUAUUUAGGUUUCUGACUGCAGCUGAUUUUGGUGUGUUCAGUGAUGGUGAAAAAUGAAUUGUUAAUGAAUCCAUGAAAGUCACACAGCUCUUGUUGGUGAGAGCAGAAAAACAAACUGAAGAAAGGAAAACCACCAUUUAAAAGAUGUCCAGAAUGACUAUAUUAAUGUAAAAUGUGAAAUAUUUGUUUUUUCCAAGAAAUAUGCGUCUUGAAUACCUAAAGCAGUUCUCAGUUUUAACUCAGCUAAACUGAUUUUUUCUCUUUGUUGUUGGUGUUUUUCAUCAGCGUCAUCAUACAGUGACUGUUUCUGUAAACCAGAACUUUUCCAUUGCAGUCAUAGAUAUUUCUGCUUCCUACCUUACUUAUUCACCAGUCAUACAAAAGUCACCCUAUGCUACAUUGCUGUUCAAAUAUUCCAUUUAUAAUGAUAAUACAUAAAAUAUUUUGAUUCGUGACAGCGUUAAACUCCGAAAGCUUGUCCUUUGCUCAUGCCACAAAAAUCAUCCUUAAAGAUAUUGCUGGUGGCUUCAGGACUUAAUGAUUCUUAUCAGUGCUGAGAACCAAACCAAGAAAAUUAGAUACCCAACAACCAGCUCCAUCCCAAGAACAUCAGCUACAUCCAACUGCUAAUACUGUAUUGAAAGACUUUUAAUCCUAGAAUGUGGAAUACCCAGCCCAAGUCAAAACAAAACUGAGAACCAACUACCACCCUAAAUCUAGUGAGGUUUUAGCUCAUUUUUUUCCUGGGAUAUAAUGAAUUAAACAUAGUAUGAAAUGCAAAAAGGUUACAUUGAGACAUAUAAUAUUUGAAGGUUUAAUUCAUUUUUCUAGUGUAUAAGACACAAGGCUAUUAAAUUUUUAAAGCAGUGAUCUCCUGAAGUCCCUACUUUAUGAGGGCUUUCUUCAUAAAGAUAAAUGGUUUCCUUGCCAAAUCAAAUGCAGAUUUGAAACAAAUUAAGUUAAUGUUCAAUGGUACAAGGUAGAAUGGAUGGGGGAACUGUUUUAUUUUGCAUUGUAAUAACCAUAUACACCUAAAUCAAUAGCUGUGGAAAAAAAAGGCAAUAAUAUCACAUAACUGCAGGAAAUGAAAUAUAGUGAGAUGAAGGGGGGAGCGGGUUGCAGAAUGAAAGGAUUUGUAUUGGAAUAAUGACAUUUCAUUAAAAAGGGAAGGAGUGCUAUUGAAUAUAAGUCCAUACCAGUAAAUUCUAUUUCUUAUAAUAACACUUGAGAUGAGUUAAAGUUGCCCAAGUAUUGUGAUAAAGUAUCUUGCUGGAUUCCUUUCUUAUAUUAUGCUGUAAUUUUACGUUAAAAGAAAAAUUUGAAAUGUUAAAGAGGCAGAGCAUGUUUUCUAAAGUGCUUUCUAUUUCUCCUAAUGUUUCAUUUAACUUGUUAUAUUAUCCUGUGCUCCUGCAAUCUAAGCAGGAGGAAGUUUAUCAGUUUCCUUCUUCUGUAAGCUCGUAUUAAAGAAACAAAGCAAAAUGGGAAUCUGGCAGUGGUGAAAGGCAUUGGAUUGAGAGUCCUGGGGAUUAAAGCCCACUAUUUAUCUGCAGCACGGGCUCAGGCUGGUGAGUAACAAUGAGGACUGAGAGAGGGUGAAUCUCGGCAGUACAGGGAUGAGAUUCCUGCCUGGUGCAAAUCAGUAGCAGCCAGGGCUGAUACACUGGGUAAUGGUACUGAACAGGACUGGAUGCAGCCUUUUUCAAAGUAUUGCACAAAGAAAUUUUUGUUCCUCUGGAGUCAAUGGCAAAAAUCCCACUGAUUUCAUGGAAGUAGGGAUUUUAACCUUGUUUUUAUUUUUUGUCACCCUGAAGUCUCCCUGAAAGACUCUCCAGAUAGAAAGGAAAAUAUUCCAUGUGCUUCACUUCAGUCACUUCCCUGAUUUGUUUCAUUCUUUUGAGGUUGCCCACAAAGGGAAGAGUUCCACUGACUGGGCAAACUGAGAGACAUGUGGCUGCUAGAAAUUAAACUGAUACCCUGCCGUUCGUGUCCCAUGUGUCAGAUCAGGAGGAGUUCAUUAGAGGGACAAAUCCAUUUUGUUCUUUUGUGGAAAGAGUAUCCGCUGAAACAGGACUGUGGGUGUGUGGGCACCUCCGUUGAACCUCUGCCAAGCAAUCAUCUGGGAAAUCACUUGUAGUAGUAAGGGGUGUAAAGGAUUGUAAAGAAAGUAAGAUUGACAGUGUCAUAGUACUUCUGUAUCAGUGAUAGAAAUGUUGUGGAACAUGGAUGUCAUGGGUGCCAGAGCUUUUCUCUACCCUUCCCUGCCACUGUCUGCAGACUACAUGAAACCAUUGUUAUCUCUUUCAGCAGUUUUUGAACUCCAUCUUCUUUUACCAAAACCAUAAAAGUGCCAUGGCGGGGGGGAGGGUCUCUAUGAGAUCGAAAUAGAGCUAGACCUGUACUUUUAUAUUAAUGAGGAAAAGGUUUGGAACUUAACUGUAGUUCAUAGAGUUGCUCACGGUUGGGUACAGAGGAGCCCAUCAUGAGAAUGUGGUACCUACUUGUAGUAUUCUCAUACCAUAAUAUCCUGUCAUAGUCUGGUUCCUGUGGUGUAUUUUUGGCAAUUACAAAAAUCGAGUAGUACUUCACUUAGAUCUCCUGGACUCAUUAUGCAAAUUUAAUGUGGUCAGAAAUGCAUGAAAAUCCAGAGGACAUUUGGAUAAGGCUUGGCUUUUUAUUUAGGGCCUUAGAAAUUGUUGCAUCUUUUCUCCCCAUCAUAGAAGAGGCAUUUCUGUGCAGAGCUUGUGACUGAAAUUCUUUUGAGCAGACAUCUGAAGAAUCCCCUGUGCACAGUUAAAGGAUAAAACUUGUCCAUACACACACAGCUCAGCAUCCUUCUGUCCCCAGUGCAGUUGGCAUCUGUGCUGUUCCUCCUUACACCCUGCACAGCCAAUGAACCAUCCCUUUGUGUGAGCUAGUGGGGAUCUUGCUUUGAGUUAUUUCUGUAGUCAUAAUCAGCUCUGUGCUUCAAUCGUUGGUUCAUUUGUUUCAAUAAGAAUGGGUAAAGCAUUCUCAGGCAAAUUUCAGACCUCAUUCAGUUUGAAGAGUUUCAUCCCUAUGAGCAUUAUGAAGAGGUACAUAACUGUACUUGAGGUUGUCUCAGUUCCUUAGUCUGCUUCAAAAUAAGAUCCAAAGAGGAGCUCGCUGAAGCAAACCAGCUUUUCAGGGCUGCAUGUUGUGAAAUUGGUACCCAUUUCUAGCAGCAGGAAUUGAUACUGUGUGCUGAACAAUCCUAAUGAUGUACCUUACCUGAGUGUGUCAUGGGCUGCACUUCUCAUGCAAAAAGUAUUGGUUUCAGGAAUAUUACUUAUAUUCUCUCCUUUCAUACAUUCAUUAGCUAAGGUGUCACCAGAUUUUUGCCAAGGGGCCAGGGGUAACUGAUAGCAUCUGAGGAGAUUUGGCUGUCUCCCACUCAGGAUAUGAGUGAAAUGGUUUGCUCAGUGAAAUGGAAUAUAUUUUUUUUUAAAUAAAAAAAGGCCACCAAAUAUAUCCAGGCUCUCAUAUAAAAUGCCACAGGGAGUUUUGUUUUAGAAUAUGUACAACUAAUCAACCUCUGAUUUGUGCAUUGCUAUCACAUUUUCUGGUCUCUGUUUCCUCUGGAUAGGAAACUUGGGAUGUGAUCCUUUCAAAUUGCUUUUAAUUUUACUCCCCUUGAAAUUAAUUAUUGACAAGUCCCAGAAUCUGAGCCACUCUAACCAACUGUUCAUGGAUUUGUCAUGUACCGAUACCAGUAAAAUUCACAAGUCACAUUGUACUAUGAAUUGUGUAAGUCAGAUGGAGAAAGUCAGAAAGACUGCUGCAUGGUUUAUCUAAAUAAUAAACACAGUUGUAAUGGUAAACAUUCACUCUGAACUUUCCAAGAACAUCUUGUAGCAUAAAAAAAUUUACUGCAGAAAUUCUUGGAUAGUGUUUUUAGAUAAUGGUUAAAUGUAAGAAUUUCAUUGUGUUGCAGGAACAGUAAAAAAAGAUGAAAUAUAUUGAAUAAAGAUUUUAUUGUGAGUUAUUUGCUCAGCUCUGUAGCACCAUCAAUUUUUUCUCCCUAUAUAAAAAUAAUGAAGUCAAUAAAUGUAUUUAGGUGACCUCUGAGACUUACAAAA